rnacentral:tRNA from 1 species
GAAUAUAAAAUAGAUUUUCUAUGAUUGAUUACGGAUCAGUAAGAUUUAUAUUUU